GCGCCCGUGAUGGAACGGCAGACAUGUACGGUUCAGGGCCGUAUGACCGCAAGGUCGUGGAGGUUCAAAUCCUCCCGGGCGCACCA
rnacentral:tRNA from 4 species